rnacentral:lncRNA from 1 species
AUGAGUGUUUAGCUAGGUUGGCAAUUCCGGACAAAAUUCCUAAGUGUCCCCUAACUCGGCUUUCCUAUUCCUAUUCGGACUACUUGACUUUGAAGACUAAGACUUUGCUAAGAGGCCGAGGUAUGUAGUCGAGUGUGUGGUGAUUGGAUGUGAAUCAACCCGGUUUUUAAUCUUUAAAUGUGUUAGAAAGUUGAGAAAAAUGGUUUUUGGUGCAAGGCUUUCAUUCCUCUGUUUCUGGAUCGAUCCAGGUGUAGGGGUGGAUCUAUCCAACUAAUGUUUUUUUGAUCAAAUCUCAGUCAUUAGAUUAAGGGUUUCUUUUUACACUUUAAAAACCAAUCUUCUCUCAUUUUCUGGGUAGAGAGACUGCUGAAAACGUGGG